rnacentral:rRNA from 1 species
GUCUACAGCCAUAUCACACUGAACGAGCCCUGUCCCGUCUGAUUUGGGAAGUUAAGCAGAGUCGGGCCUGGUUAGUACUUGGAUAGGAGACCACCUAGGGAGACCAGGUGCCAUAGGCU